rnacentral:rRNA from 1 species
CCUACGGGUGGCAGCAGUGGGGAAUAUUGCACAAUGGGGGAAACCCUGAUGCAGCGACGCCGCGUGAGUGAAGAAGUAUUUGGGGAUGUAAAGCUCUAUCAGCAGGGAAGAAAAUGACGGUACCUGAUUAAGAAGCCCCGGCUAACUACGUGACAGCAGCGGCGGUAAUACGUAGGGGGGAAGCGGUAUCCGGAUUUAAUGGGGGUAAAGGGAGGGUAGACGGGAGCACAAGUCUGGAGGGAAAUGGAGGGGGUGAAACCCGGAACUGCGUUGGAAACUGUGCAGCUAGAGUGCAGGAGAGGUAAGUGGAAUGCCUAGUGUAGCGGUGAAAUGCGUAGAUAUUAGGCGGAACACCAGUGGCGAAGGCGGCUUACUGGAGUCCAACUGACGUUGAGGCACGAAAGCGUGGGUAGCGAACAGGAUUAGAUACCCGUGUAGUC